CGAGUUGUAGUCUGGAGAAGUGUUUUCCGUGUUGGACCGUGUACAAGUCCCUUGGAACAGGGCGUCAUAGAGGGUGAGAAUCCCGUCUUUGACACGGACUACCAAUGCCUUGUGAUGCGCUCUCAAA
rnacentral:rRNA from 1 species